GUGCCCUUUACCUCGGUGACCUGUUCGCCGGCAAAGAAGUGAGGGUACAGGUGUUUUGCCUGCAAUGUAUUUCUGCGUACCCAAUGCGUGACUGGCGACCUUUGGGGGAGGCCAGAGACGGUGUUAGUCCUGGGGAACUGGAGCUACAGACAGUAUUGCACUAGCAUCGUCCCAUAGAAAGAAUAUUGCCCCCAUGACAGCUGGAAGUAAUUCUACAAGACGACGUCCCCUUUCCCAACAAAGUUUGUCUUCAGGGUUAGGGACAUCAUUUAGGGGUUGAUUAUAAUUGUCAUAGGGUUGGGGGUUAGGGGGAAAUUUUGUAGGCUCAGGGAUCUUUUGGGGGAAAAAAGGUGAAAAUUGGAUGGGAUAAUAGAUUAGUGUGAGCUUACUUACACUAAUAAUAAUAGUGAGUAAUAGAGUGAAUGCUUGUGAGCUAUUUAUAGGUAAUUUACAUUGGUGUAGAUUAUUGUAUAUUAAUACAAACUUAAAUUAUUUUGAAUAUGUUUCUAUUUUAUUAUUUAUAGGAAAUUUACAUUGGUAUAGAUUCUUGUAUAUUAAUAUAAACAUAAAUUAUAUUUAAUAUGUUCCUAUUUUCAUCCACAAUAUUUUUAUACCUAGGCAAGGCUAAUUUGUCAUAUUGUAUACAUACAUGCUUCUACCUAUGCUUAAAACAUUUUUGUAUAUUGAUACAAUUUUAGGAUAUAUUUAUCAUAUUGCUAUGUAUAUUUCUACCUCUGAUCAAGAUACUUAUACAUUAUUUACAUUUUGAGGUCAUUGUUUUCAUUUGUUGCAUAGUUGUUUAUUGUAUAAUAUUCUAAUAUGAAGUCUUAGUCUUUAAGUUACAUAGGUAUUAAGAAUUAUAGAUCAAUAGUCACCUAUGUUUGUCAUACUUAUAGUUAGGCUAAUCAGGUUCUUGAGAUACAUAAAGAUUGUAUUCUGCAUAGAUAGAUAAUCUUCAGCCACUUCAAAGAGCUGUAGAAUAUGGCAUUUAAAUAACUUAGGGUUCUGUUGACUUGAGACACAAUUGCUUCUGGAAGCACCAAUCUAUUCCUGAGAGAAUGUUGAGCACUGAAGACACUCCACUUGCAGUUUGUUUUCUUCUUGGCACAAUUGGCCUUUGGGCAAGGAACUGCCCAUGCCUCAACCACUGACAAGGUACAUGGUAUCCGGAAAAGGAUAAAAAAGACACAAGAAAACAGACUGUCAAAUCUUGCCAAGACAAGGUAAGAUGGUUUUAAAAAAUUUCCUUCCUCUAAAAAUGGUCUGUCAGUUUCGCUAGGGCUUAGCCAAAGUUGGUUGCUUCAACAUUGCAAAUGAGACUUCGGGUGAUAGCCUAGGUAGCCUGUUAUCUCUGUCAUUUGUUGUACAUUUUUGAAAGUUACUUAAUUACAUUUCCUGCUUACUCAAGUAAUAUUAUUUCCCUUCUUGUAUUUUACAUGGGGUUGAAGACUAGAUAGUUGUAGUUACUUUCCUCUCAUGACUUGGUCAAGUUAUUUAUUAUACAAAACUUAAGCUCAUUAUGAUAGGAUAAUUAUUAAAACAUUUAUCACGUUUCUUGCUUGAUAUAUUUGUUCUUAUUGUAUAUAAUUUUGUAUUAGGCUUAGAACUCUAUUAUUUGAACAAAGGGGGGAGGUGCUGUAGGAAUUCCUACUGCCAGUAGCCAUUCCAUUUGGGCAUGGCCUCUUAUACUAUUUAUGCUGAUAUAAAGCAUGUAUCCAGUCUCUUUUCUGGCUGAGGGAUUUGGUUGCUGUUUUCUGUUCCAACAGAGAAUAUUGAUUUGUGUGUCUACCCUUAAAUAAAUAACCGUCUAUUUCUCAAUUCUGAGCUAAUGUGGGAUUUCUUUUAAGAAAGAAAUUUACACCUUCAUUUACAACUGAACAAGGAGGCAGGUUUAUGGUUUAUAGCUGGGCAAGGGGUCUGGCUUAGCUAGUCUCAGGAGGAGGUCUCUGUAGAGUGGCAGUCUCAAGUUGUAAACAUCUAUGAGGAGGAAGAAGUGGUUAUAGUUUAUGUACAUGCUGAUCAAGAAACACUCAUACAUGGACCAGCGUAAGAUUUAGCAUCCUUCUGAGCCACAUUCAGGGACAGGCUCUGUCAUUUUGUCACUCCAGUCUGAGGCACUGGAGUCCUUUGAGUGAUUAUGCCCGUGCCAAACAAUACACAUUCACUUAAGACUUCAUCCACUGUCCACAGAAACCCAGGAGAUUAUAAAGUACACUUCAUGGUGAAUCUGGGGGUCUUUUUCAAAGAAGAGUAACUAUGGAAAAAGACUUGAGUUAACUGAUACCUCCUGAAGACUAGAGACUCAAAUGGUAUAAAAGAAAAACAAGGAAGUAGCCCAUGGUUGUCAUGGUGUGAGGUGCUCCAUCGAGCCCCCCUUUCCAACAAUAGACCCAAACUGCUGUAAUGAUGAGAAAACAUAUUUUCUCCCUUAAGUUAUCUUGCUAAAAUACUUUGUCACUGCCAUAAAGUCUGUCAAAUACACGGUGCUCAGCUGUCAUUCCUAACCAUGGAUAACAGGAAAACCAGGGCUUAGCAUCAUUGCAAUUCUGCUCCUCUUCUCUUCAAACUCUUGAACCAUAACUUAAGAAACAUGUACAUACAAGAAUAGUAUUUAAUAUUCUAGAGGUGCUUCAAGCCACAAAGCACCUCACACAUGUCAUUGUAUUGAAAAUAUGUUUUCCAGAUCCAUCCAUUUUCUGAAAUUUUCAUAAUUUUAUUUUUCUUUACUGCUGAGUAGAGUUCAAAUGUGUCAAUUUAUCACGUGUUCAUUACCCAUAUGUUGAAUAACAAGAGGUUCCUGUUGGCUUCUGGACCUGUAGGACUUCAUACCCCAAUACUUCCUGCCCCCACAUCAGGCAUAGACCUCUCCUUACAAGUUACUCCUUCCCCCAACCUUACCCUCACCCUUGCCCCCACCCCCAUGCUCACAACUUUUGCCCAGCAAUCUUGUUUGCUUCCAAUUUCCAGGAGGAUCUAUAUAUGUUUUUCUUUGGGUUCACCUUGUUAUUUGGCUUCUCUAGGCUUGUGAACUAUAGGCUUAAUGUCUUUGUUUAUGGCUAGAGUCCACAAAUGAGUGAGUACAUACCAUAUUCAUCUUGUUGGGUCUGGGUUAUCUCACUCAGGAUAGUGUUUUCUAUUCCCAUCCAUUUGUAUGCAAAAUUCAAGAUGUCAUUGUUUUUACUGCUGAGUAGUACUCUAAUAUGUAUAUAUUCCACACUUUCUUCAUCCAUUCUUCCAUUGAGGAGCAUCUAGGUUGUUUCCAGGUUCUGGCUAUUACAAAUAAUGCUGCUAUGAACAUAGUUGAACAAAUGCUUUUGUAGUAUGAUUGGGCAUCUCUUGGGUAUAUUCCCAAGAGUGGUAUUGCUGGAUCCUGAGGUAGGUUGAUACCAAAUUUCCUGAGAAACCCCCACACUGAUUUCCAAAGUGGUUGCACAAGGUUGGAUUUCCACCAGCAAUGGAUGAGUGUUUCCCUUACUCCACAUCCUCUCCAGCAUAGGUUAUCAUUGGUGGGGAGAGGAAAGGGAAGGGAGAAGGGAAGGACUGGCAAGAGCUUGGGGGAGUAGGAGGGUGGAGAUGGAGGAAGGGCGGAUAUAGGAACAGGGAAGAAGAUAUCUACAUUAAGGGAGUCAUUUUAGGGUUGUCAAGAUUCUUGGCUCUAGAGGGGUUCCCAGGUGUCCAUGGGGAUGUUCCCAGCUAGGUCCUUGGACAGCAGAGGAGAGGGAGCCUGAACUCUCCUUGCCCCAUAAUCACACUGAUGAUUAUCUCGAAUAUCACCAUAGAAUCUUCGUCCGGCGACGGAUGGAGAUAGAGACAGAGCAACGGACUGAGAUCCCAAGGUCCACUUGAAGGAGGGAGAUGAGCAAGGAAGUCAGGACUGCGAAGGGUUGGUCCACCAACUGAGGCAGUGUGCCUGUUCUAAUGGGAGCUCACCAAAUCCAGCUGGACCAGGUCUGAAUGAGCAUGUGAUCAAACCGGACUCUCUGAUUGUGGCUGACAAUGGAGGCUGACUGAGAAGCCAUUGAUAAAGGCACUGGGACUUGUUUUUACGGCAUGUUCUGGCUUUUUGGGACCCUAGUCUAUAUGGAUGCAUAGCUUCCUAGGCCUGGAUAUAGGGGGGAGGGCCUUGGACUUCCAAUAGGGCAGGAUUCCUGACCCUCUCUCAAGCAGGGAAG